rnacentral:rRNA from 1 species
CGAGCGUUNUCCGGAUUUAUNGGGUUUAAAGGGAGCGUAGGUGGAUUGUUAAGUCAGUUGUGAAAGNNGCGGCUCAACCGUAAAAUUGCAGUUGAAACUGGCAGUCUUGAGUACAGUAGAGGUGGGCGGAAUUCGUGGUGUAGCGGUGAAAUGCUUAGAUAUCACGAAGAACUCCGAUUGCGAAGGCAGCUCACUAGACUGCAACUGACACUGAUGCUCGAAAGUGUGGGUAUCAAACAGGAUUAGAUACCCUGGUAGUCCACACAGUAAACGAUGAAUACUCGCUGUUUGCGAUAUACAGUAAGCGGCCAAGCGAAAGCAUUAAGUAUUCCACCUGGGGAGUACGCCGGCAACGGUGAAACUCAAAGGAAUUGACGGGGGCCCGCACAAGCGGAGGAACAUGUGGUUUAAUUCGAUGAUACGCGAGGAACCUUACCCGGGCUUAAAUUGCAAAUGAAUAAUCUGGAAACAGGUUAGCCGCAAGGCAUUUGUGAAGGUGCUGCAUGGUUGUCGUCAGCUCGUGCCGUGAGGUGUCGGCUUAAGUGCCAUAACGAGCGCAACCCUUAUCUUUAGUUACUAACAGGUGAUGCUGAGGACUCUAGAGAGACUGCCGUCGUAAGAUGUGAGGAAGGUGGGGAUGACGUCAAAUCAGCACGGCCCUUACGUCCGGGGCUACACACGUGUUACAAUGGGGGGUACAGAAGGCAGCUACCUGGUGACAGGAUGCUAAUCCCAAAAACCUCUCUCAGUUCGGAUCGAAGUCUGCAACCCGACUUCGUGAAGCUGGAUUCGCUAGUAAUCGCGCAUCAGCCAUGGCGCGGUGAAUACGUUCCCGGGCCUUGUACACACCGCCCGUCAAGCCAUGAAAGCCGGGGGUACCUGAAGUACGUAACCGCAAGGAGCGUCCUAGGGUAAAACUGGUAAUUGGGGCUAAGUCGUAACAAGGUAACAAUCACUAGUGAAUUCGCGGCCGCCUGCAGGUCGACCAUANGGGAGAGCNCCC